GGACUACUCGGGUUUCUAAUCCUGUUUGCUCCCCUAGCUUUCGCAGCUCAGCGUCAGUGAUGGCCCAGAAACCUGCUUUCGCCAUAGGUAUUCCUCCCGAUAUCUACGCAUUUCACCGCUACACCGGGAAUUCCAGUUUCCUCUACCACACUCGAGCCUGGUAGUUUCCCUUGACCUCUCCCAGUUAAGCCGGGAGCUUUCACAAGAGACUUACCAAACCGCCUACCUGCGCUUUACGCCUAGUGAUUCCGAGUAUCGCUUGCCACCUACGUAUUACCGCGGCUGCUGGCAC
rnacentral:rRNA from 1 species